ensembl:lncRNA
UUGAUGCUCCUUUACUUCAGAUCCCAUAUGCCACAGACAGCAUUCAGUUAAAUAACAGCCUUAGCAGUAACAAUGACAAUACAUAGGACAGUACACAACGUCACUCCUUUGGCUCAAAGUAGUUCCAGUUUGUUGCUGAACAGUUGUUACACACAAUCUCCAGCACAUGGCUGAACACAAUAACCUUCACAUCCUACAGCUGAAAAGGCCAGUAACAGAUUGGCAGAGGAAAUUUAGAUUGCACAUCCCUUACGUAGUUUUAUUUCUUGUGCAGUUUGAAAUGGCAUCAGUAUAACUUUGGUGUUCAUCUGAAAAAGGCUUAGCUGGGAGAGCAGAUGACAGUCACUGCUUGUCCAAGGUAAGCUCUGUCCAAAAGGGCAUCAAUUUCCAACAUCUCCAAACAAAAUUUGUUUGAAAUAAAGAUCAAAUAAAACAAUUUAAGUUUCUCAUGUUGCAGCACACCCAAGAUACAGUUGUGUUCUCAUAGGGGUGUUAGUAACAGCAGUAAUAAUAAAAUCACACUGAGAGAUGAUGAGAUACCAUAGCAAUGGUUGCAGGGAAAGUCAAGAUCAUUUCAGAAAAGAGUGCUCUGGGAAGAUUAGCUUUUAGAAACCCCUCCAUUGCCUGGCCUAGACAAAGCCCUUCCAGUGGUUAUAUUUUCCGCUUCUAAAGCAGAACAUUAUUUAAGAUAUCUUUUAUAGUAAGAACAGUCAUCCACUGGAACAGCCUCCGCAGGCAUAUGGUAGAUGCACCAUCCCUGAAGGCAUUCAAGGCUAGGCUGUGGUUCUGAGGAACCUGAUCAAGUUGAAGAUGUCCCUGCUCCUUGCAGGGAGGGCUGGACUAGAUGGCCUUUGAAAGUCCCUUCCAACCCAAACUAGUCUAUGAUUCUAUGACAUGGUAGAGUCCCGCUCACUGGAGGUUUCCAGAUGCAACUGGGCAGGGUGCUAGGUAACCUCACCUAGGCUCCCUUUCCCAAAAAAGGCUGGGCCAGAUGAUCUCUAGAGGUCCCUUCCAGCCUGGGCUGGUCUGUGAUUCUAUGAGCUUGGGGAUACUGAGAGACUAAAGAGAGACGUUUCUUCUCUGGGUGACCACCAACAUGGUCACAACAAGCAUUUGUGUGAUCAUUCCUUUUGAAAUGUGCUAGAACCAAUCAUUACCCAAAGGGUAAGAUGCUGACUUGCCUAAAUGGGAUUCACACGGGAGGGAUGCGAGGCAGCUUAAGAGUACAGAAUACCAGAGAAUCACGUUAGGAUAAAGAGGUUUUGUGAAGUCAGAGAGGACUCCAUAAUGGCUGAUUAUCUCCAUUCUUUCACAAUUCUUAUCAAACAGACAAUUACACAGUAAAAUGACUCAGGUUGAUUCAAUGCAUCAUGAAUGCUAUUAUAAGGAGUAUUAACACAGAGCAGAUGUACUCACUUCGCAGCUAAGGCAAAAAACCUCUCCUUCCCCACUGAAAAGCUUAAUCACCAUUUAUGGAUGUCUAAACAAAACCCUGAUCUUGUUUCCUGUAGAAACUCUACAUGCAGCACUGUAAUCCUCCAUGUGUAUGUGUACAUAUAUAAAUGUAUAUUUUUGGAUGUUAGCCAUCUUUUAUUUACCGUAACAGCUCAACCUACCUAGGACCUCUCCAUUUGAUUUCCUUCCCCUUUUUUUUUACCCCUCUGAAGUACCCUGCCAAAAGAUAAUGUGCCUUUACAAUUAGGCACCAAACACAGUGAUGGGGAGUGGGGGGGAAGGGAGUUUCAAGUACUUUCAAGAACAUAUACAACAUAUUUCAUAAAUAAAAUCUAGCUGCUUCUUAGCAGUGGGUUUGCUGUGAAGGGACAUUUGUGGACAGGACAGCUGAUGAGAAACUUAACUGGCUCAAGCUAGCAGCAAAAUAAUUCAGGUAAUAGAGGGGCAUAAAACUGUAUUUCUCAGGAUAUUGGGACGCUAAUAAAAUUACAGGAUCUCACAACAUUGUCUGAAAAGGAUCUGAGAAAAACAGAAGGGGCCAUGGAAUGAAAAAUUCUCUUUCCCACACCGGUAAGAGGUAUUUUCUUUCAGAUAUGCAUCUUUGUCCCAUCAAAUAUAGGUCCCUCCCAUGCAGACAUUUUACAGACUUACUGACAUUUACAUACAAGCAGUUCUGUUCCUGAUACACAAAACCUGUCUCCAGAAACCCCAUUC